AAAAAGCGACGUUGAAAAUUGGUUUAAGAUUGGUCCGUCGGAUUUGGUCCAAAUUAAGCCCAAAAAGCGACAUUUAACGUCUUUUUUUUUUUUUUUUUUUUUUAGCCCAAAAAUAGAUGUAAAUGCGCUUUAGUCCAAAUUUAGCAGAAAAAAAACUUUUAUUUCGCACCACAAAGCCAUUAACAUAAACUAGUGAAGAAAUUAGACAUCAUGUCUGAAGCACUGUUAAAUAUAUUUAAAUAUAUUUUGAAAACACUUGAUGGUCACGCGCUGUACUGGAGUCACCAUGGAAACGGGGCUCAGCUCAACCGUCAAGCAGCUGAACAGACGCUGUCUCUCAUGGUUGUUUUCACUAAUUUCAGAAAUGGUCAGUGUCUUCAUAAAAAGUCCGUUAGCAUCUCAACUGUAAUGCUAACUACAAGAGGUAACUUUAUGUGCAUUUUUCACAAUAUAUUUCGCCUACAUCAGCAUGAAUCUGUAAUUUUCUUAUAUAUGUGUGUGUUUAUAUAAUAUUUUCAUAAUAUAUGUGUGUGUGUGUGUGAUUGUUUGCCUGUUAGUUAUUUUGAUGUCCACACUGUAAGAGUAUUACUCGGUUAGUAAACCUAAAACUUUAAAUUCUGUUAUUAUUCUUUUAAUUUUUUUGUAUAAUCUGUAAAUUAAUUUUCUUUUCUGCAUUUCACCUCUGCUAUAGUUUAUUUAUAAUAAACAUGGCAUUGUAUAAUAAAUAUUGUUGGCUUAGACAGAUUGACAGAAUGACAAUGUUUAUGUUCUAGAUUCUUCCAUGCUGAUGGUCGUGCCUGUAUCCAGCUGAAGAACAUUUUUAGACAUUAUGAAACAUAUAACUAAGACUGAAAAUCAUUGAUAAACCACAAGAGUUUAGCUCCAACCCCAGUUAAGCAGACCUGAGCAGCUGAUCAAGGAUCAGCAGAAACUCUGCAGAACGGUGGUCCUCCAGCCCAGGACUGGACACCAGUUUUAUGCUGCAGAAAAAAGAGCGAGGCUAAAGCAUUCAAAGUGGAAACAUCUGCCGUGGCUCAUUAAUCCAGAAUUGGGAUGGAGGAAGGAGCAGAAGAUCAGAGAUCAGGCAGAGAUCUACUGGUGCCUCUGUGGGAACCCCAUUUACCUAAUGUGUUAGUUUAACCAAAGAUUUUCCUCACUCACCUUUAUGUUGUUCCAAGCCAGACUUUUGUUCAUCUUUGAAACAUAAAUUCUGAACUUUUUAAAGAAAUCUGAGAUUAUUUUUUUAUAUAAAAUAACACAUUCACACAAGCACCAUGAUGCAUCAGUGUUGCAUUGGCGUGAGAGCUGGCGCUUUUGGUGAUUUUGUGAAAAUCCAUUGGGGAUUCAUAAUUUCUGAAUAGAUUAUUUUUGCUGUUGUUACCCAGAUAGCAUACAUAUCCGGGCCUCAUCUGGGCCAACUAUGGCACAUCUGGCUCAGUUCUGGCAGCGGCAGAGAUUAUAUGGGCCAUCUCUGGCCCACACACAUCAAGCCGGUUUUAGUUUGAGUUGCGGCAUGCUGUGUGUGGGCCAGAUCUGGCCCGUGUGCGACAAACCGGCUUUAGUUUGAGUCGUGGCUUGCUGUGUGUGGGCCAGAUCUGGCCCGUGUGUGACAAACCGGCUUUAAUUUGAGUCGUGGCUUGCUGUGUGUGGGCCAGAUCUGGCCCGUGUGCGACAAACCGGCUUUAAUUUGAGUCGUGGCUUGCUGUGUGUGGGCCAGAUCUGGCCCGUGUGCGACAAACCGGCUUUAAUUUGAGUCGUGGCUUCCUGUGUGUUGGCCAGAUCUGGCCCGUGUGCGACAAACCGGCUUUAAUUUGAGUCGUGGCUUGCUGUGUGUGGGCCAGAUCCGGCCCGUGUGUGACAAACCAGCUUUAAUUUGAGUCGUGGCUUCCUGUGUGUUGGCCAGAUCUGGCCCGUG